GAUGAACGCUGGCGGCGUGCCUAAUACAUGCAAGUCGAGCGAACGGACGAGAAGCUUGCUUCUCUGAUGUUAGCGGCGGACGGGUGAGUAACACGUGGAUAACCUACCUAUAAGACUGGGAUAACUUCGGGAAACCGGAGCUAAUACCGGAUAAUAUUUUGAACCGCAUGGUUCAAAAGUGAAAGACGGUCUUGCUGUCACUUAUAGAUGGAUCCGCGCUGCAUUAGCUAGUUGGAAGGUAACGGCUUACCAAGGCAACGAUGCAUAGCCGACCUGAGAGGGUGAUCAGCCACACUGGAACUGAGACACGGUCCAGACUCCUACGGGAGGCAGCAGUAGGGAAUCUUCCGCAAUGGGCGAAAGCCUGACGGAGCAACGCCGCGUGAGUGAUGAAGGUCUUCGGAUCGUAAAACUCUGUUAUUAGGGAAGAACAUAUGUGUAAGUAACUGUGCACAUCUUGACGGUACCUAAUCAGAAAGCCACGGCUAACUACGUG
rnacentral:rRNA from 1 species